AGCUUGGAGGGUUUGAUCCUGGCUCAGGGUGAACGCUGGCGGCGUGCCUAACACAUGCAAGUCGAGCGGUGCAGCUGGAGGCUUCGGCCGAAGGCUGCAUAGCGGCGGACGGGUGCGUAACGCGUAGGAACGUGCCCCCUGGAGGCGGAUAGCCGCGGGAAACUGCGGGUAAACCGCCAUAGACUCGGGAGAGUAAAGGCCGGAAGGCGCCAGGGGAGCGGCCUGCGUCCCAUCAGGUAGUUGGUAGGGUAACGGCCUACCAAGCCUACGACGGGUAGCCGGUCUGAGAGGAUGGCCGGCCACAAGGGCACUGAGACACGGGCCCUACUCCUACGGGAGGCAGCAGUGGGGGAUAUUGGACAAUGGGCGAAAGCCUGAUCCAGCGACGCCGCGUGGAGGACGAAGCCCUUCGGGGUGUAAACUCCUUUUGUCGGGGAAAAAGGGCUGAUGGUACCCGACGAAUAAGCCCCGGCUAACUACGUGCCAGCAGCCGCGGUAAUACGUAGGGGGCGAGCGUUACCCGGAAUCACUGGGCGUAAAGGGUGCGUAGGCGGCCGCGUGUGUCUGGCGUAAAAUUCCACGGCUCAACCGUGGGUAUGCGCUGGAAACUACGUGGCUUGGGUGCGGCAGAGGCAGACGGAACUGCUGGUGUAGGGGUGAAAUCCGUAGAUAUCAGCAGGAACGCCGGUGGAGAAGUCGGUCUGCUGGGCCGUAACCGACGCUGAGGCACGAAAGCUAGGGGAGCGAACCGGAUUAGAUACCCGGGUAGUCCUAGCCGUAAACGAUGCUCACUAGGUGUGGGGGCGGAAGCCUCCGUGCUGAAGCAAACGCGAUAAGUGAGCCGCCUGGGGAGUACGCCCGCAAGGGUGAAACUCAAAGGAAUUGACGGGGGCCCGCACAAGCGGUGGAGCGUGUGGUUUAAUUGGAAGCUAAGCCAAGAACCUUACCAGGGCUUGACAUGCUGGUGGUACCGAGCCGAAAGGUGAGGGACCCUGCCGAAAGGUAGGGAGCCAGCACAGGUGGUGCACGGUCGUCGUCAGCUCGUGCCGUGAGGUGUUGGGUUAAGUCCCGCAACGAGCGCAACCCCUGCCCUUAGUUGCCAGCGGUUCGGCCGGGCACUCUAAGGGGACUGCCGGCGACGAGCCGGAGGAAGGAGGGGAUGACGUCAGAUACUCGUGCCCCUUAUGUCCUGGGCGACACACGCGCUACAAUGGGGUGGACAGCGGGAAGCGAGGCAGCGAUGCUGAGCAAAACCCUGAAACCACCCCCCAGUUCAGAUUGUGGGCUGAAACCCGCCCACAUGAAGCCGGAAUCGCUAGUAAUCGCGGAUCAGCCACGCCGCGGUGAAUACGUUCCCGGGCCUUGUACACACCGCCCGUCAAGCCACCCGAGUCGCGGGCACCCGAAGACGGUGACUCUUAGGGGCGCCGUUGAGGGUGAACGUGGUGAGGGGGGCUAAGUCGUAACAAGGUAGGUGUACCGGAAGGUGCGCCUGGAUCACCUCCUUUCUAAGGA
rnacentral:rRNA from 1 species